GGACCUGACUGCUAUCGGAUUGAUACUAAGCCAUGCGAGUCAUUGUAGCAAUACAAGGCAUACGGCUCAGUAACGCGUAGUCAACCUAACCUAUGGACGGGAAUAACCUCGGGAAACUGAGAAUAAUGCCCGAUAGAACAUUAUGCCUGGAAUGGUUUAUGUUCCAAAUGAUUUAUCGCCGUAGAAUGGGACUGCGGCCUAUCAGUUUGUUGGUGAGGUAAUGGCCCACCAAGACUAUUACGGGUACGGGCUCUGAGAGGAGUAGCCCGGAGAUGGGUACUGAGACACGGACCCAGGCCCUAUGGGGCGCAGCAGGCGAGAAAACUUUGCAAUGUGCGAAAGCACGACGAAGGUUAAUCCGAGUGGUUUCUGCUAAAGAAACCUUUUGUCUGUCCUAGAAACUCUGAUGAAUAAGGGGUGGACAAGUUCUGGUGU
rnacentral:rRNA from 1 species